UUCAAAGUCAAAUCAAUGGCUUGAAUGCAGAUUUAUCUACACAGAUGCCACAAGGAUCUUACACACUUUCUAUUAUUUAAAAAACAACAACCAGCAUUAAAUUGUCCUGCCAUAGCAAGAGGGGUCCUGCCAGACUGCCAUGGAACCAAGGACAAUACAGGUGGGAAAAUCUUUUAAACCUGACUCAUUUUAGAUUUCAAAAAUACUUCUGACAUUCUUAUGCCAGCACCACAGGCCUGCAUAAGUGAGAGUAUGAGAAAGUUCAUUUCAGUACAGGGAUGAUGAUUUGGGUGUAUUUGAAAGUAAUUACAGAUAACAGAGCUAGAAAGAAGCUGGAAAACAUCCAAAAGAAAGUUCCUUUUCACAAAAAAACUAAUAUAUGGAAGAUGCAGAGCCUUCUGAUGUUUUGUAUAACCUUUUUAAAGUUACUUCAAAGUUCCUAAGGCUGAAGAAUACACCUCUUGGAAGAAUUUUCACAGCCCUUUAAAUUAGGGAUAAAAAAAUGUAAGUCCAUAGGACUAAAUAAUGUGGUUUGUAAUACACAGAAAUGUGUGUGCCCUCUGAAACACUCAGCAAAGAGAUCAAGAGUCAAUAAUGGUUUCUUCAGCUUUUUACAUGGAAAGCAGUUUAGAAGCAAGGUGUCAGUCUCAUGGAAAUCAUCACAUGGAAAUUACUGCUGAAUUCAGGCACAAAAUUAAUAACAGGAGCAGUGUAGAAUCAGUUGAGAUUCUUUAGUUUUUUGAAAAUGUUAUCCAAUUAUUGUUUGGCACCCCUUUAAAUUUGUGGAACAUAAAACCUCCCUUGUUAUUCUGUACACUCAGGUAGUAUUUGAGUCUAAUGGAUUUUCACCUUUUCUUUGCAAUUAGGUUUUGUCAGUUAUUUGUAAUUUUGUCACCUGCAGAAUGGAUUACACCAUCAUAUAGGGCAAGCACAGAGGGACCUUUGGCACCACCAGUCUGACUGCAGAGGAGUUCUGACCAAUGUGCCCACACCACACUCAGACUCUGCCCAUUGCUUUUGAGACCCCUCCAGUUCUUGGCUGUCUACUUUUAUCUUUAAUCAGAAGUUUUCAGUGGCAGUUCUUUCUUCGUGUAUCUGUGCAUGACAUUAAAAGAGACUGCGGCGUACGGAGCCAGAGCUGUAAAGGAGCUAAAUCAGACUUACUGAGAGGACAGGAACAGAGCAUGGCCUGCCCAGGAGCCAGCAGCCAGGAGC